GUAACUGCCUCCAACAUUUACAUGAAAUUGUAUAUAAAGCCAUGCAUAGUAUACGAAUCAAUUAACAGCCUUCCGACGUGCAGGGAACCCGCAGCCCGAUAGCACUAAAGCAAAAUGAACACACAAAGAUUGACCAUUUUUCUGGUUCUUAUCUGCCUUUCCUGCGGACAUGCGCAAUGGGCACAGACAUUUGGAUGGGGAGGUGCUGGCAAUGGUAAACGAUCAUCCUGGCCAACCAUUUCUAAUUCUGAUCCUUACGACUGCAGUCAAAGAAAUGAAAACAUCUUGAACGUUUUGUCAAAUUUAGUUGAGAUCGAGGUUCAGCGAUUGAAUUAUUGUGAAAACAGAAAAAGAAUUUCAACACAGUAAAUCCAUCUCUCAAAGACUGCUGCACCGGAUGAAAUUUACAACGAUUUUGUACCUGGACAACGUACAUAAAAAGUGUUAUGGUAGCCUUUAGUUAAAGUUCAAGCGUCUUUCAGAAGUGACGAAAUAUAUUUUUAUCAAUAGCAUAUAUUUCUGGCAUUAACAUUAUUGCAGCCUAAAUUUUAACACAUGAUAUGGAACUUUUUAUGAAGACUUUAGCACGAAUAUCGUAACACACGGGAACUUGAUUAUCGUCGUGAUUAUAAAAAAAAUAAAUCCGUAAUAUUAUAAUUCUCGAUAUCAUAGAAAACUAGUACUAUAUAAUAAUUAUUGUUAUUAUACUUUCAUGUAAAAUACUCGAACCUGAUUGGUCGAGAAGCAUUUGAAAAAACAUAUUGUUACCCUCUGAGAACAGAAAACACGCGACCCAGGGUGAUAGUAUCUAGCAACGGGUAACAGUACUUGACAACGGGUGAUAUUAUAAAAAAUUAUCACAUGCGUCAAAUUUAUGCGCGUACGGUUCGCCGUAGAUUGCUAGACGACGUCGUUUGAGCGUUUGUAAUAAACGCGAGUACCCGCAUCGAAAUACGAAAUAUCGCAUGACAGUGAUUGAUCAAAUGUCAACAGACGUAAGUUUUUCUGCUUUCCAGUUUACAUAACAUUCAGUAUAAUAAAACAAAUAUUGCAUGUAUUUGAGGGUAACAUUGAAAUUUUCACCCCUCGAGAAACCAUUGUCAACCUCGGCUACGCCUCGGUUGACAAUGGUUUUCUCGGGGUGAAAAUUUUCAAUGUUGCCCUCAAAUACAUGCAAUAUUUAUAUAAUAACACAUACACCAAAGAAUGAUAAUCGAUAUAAGUAAUUAAUAUAAUGUAUUAUGGGUAUUCUAAUAUAACGUAAUUGUCGAUAUGGCAGAACAAUAUAUAGAUGAUAACACACUGGAACAUAAUCAUCUAUAUGAUAGAACAGGUUUCACCGUGGAAUGGUACAUUAGAUACAUGAAACACAAUUCACAGAUAUACAGUAACAGGGGUCAAACAGACUAAACAUCAGGUGCUAAACAGAUAUGUUGCCAAAGUAAUUGCUCUUUUCCAUAAGCUAUGAAAAAUGAACAUUGUGAAGAUUUAAUUUACAUACAUUGUACGAUAUAUUGAUAUAAAAUAUUGUUCACAUGUAUACGUGAUACUUACAUUAAAAUGCUUUUGGCGGCAGAAGCAGCUAUUUUACUAAAACUAG